AACGGCCGCGGUAUCCUAACCGUGCAAAGGUAGCAUAAUCACUUGCCUAUUAAUUGUAGGCUAGAAUGAAUGGGUCAACGAAAUAAAGACUGUCUCAAUUAAUCACCUAAAAAUUACUAUCUACCUGAAGAAGAGUAGAUAAUCUCGAAGGACAAGAAGACCCUAUAGAGCUUAAUUUUAAUUAUAGGACUAUACUAUAAAAAUAUUCGGUUGGGGCGACCCAGGGCUAAUUAAUCACCCACCACAUAAAAGAUAAAUUAAUCAAGUAAUUGACCCCUAAAAGAUCAUAAGAACAAGCUACCUUAGGGAUAACAGGCUAAUCCCACUCAAGAGUCCUUAUCAACAGUGGGGUUUGGCACCUCGAUGUUGGCUUAGG
rnacentral:rRNA from 1 species